CGCGUAGGCGGGAGAGCAAGUCAGAUGUGAAAUCCCCGGGCUUAACCCGGGAACUGCAUUUGAAACUGUUUUUUCUUGAGUGAUGGAGAGGCAAGUGGAAUUCCUAGUGUAGCGGUGAAAUGCGUAGAUAUUAGGAGGAACACCAGUGGCGAAGGCGACUUGCUGGACAUUAACUGACGCUGAGGCGCGAAAGCGUGGGGAGCAAACAG
rnacentral:rRNA from 1 species